rnacentral:lncRNA from 1 species
AUGCUCCCAGCAAGCUACUUGGUAAAGCAACUUAAAUGGGGAAAAAAUAUGUAUGGCUUACAUGUGUUCACAGAGUCGGGUAAAGCCAUUUUCAAUUCCACGUCUGACUCAUCCCCAAGUUGGCUGUCUGAUGGUGAUGAAUUUUUCAGCCCCAGGAUGGUCUCAAAUGAUCAUCUAGUAAGCUUCAGGAGUGGGGGAGGGCAGCCUGAUAGAGUUCGAAGGCAUACUCACAUAAAAAUAGAACAGUUAUCAUGUCAGUGUACACUUUCACAAAAUGAGAUGUCUUGCAGAUGGCUGAGCAAAUGUCUCAGCUGUGAUAAUAGGGUGAGACUCGUAAGCCCACAUCGAGCAAGGGCAUUGUGCUAAUCUAGAUCAUCCUUGAAAAGUAUUUCUGAAAUAUUUCUUCACAUCCUGUUUGCUCAGUACUAUAAGGAAAAAUGUUACACUGAAAUAAACCCUAUUUACUAGAAGAUUAAAAACUGAAG